CUACGGGUGGCUGCAGUCGAGGAAAUUUUACAAUGCUCGAAAGAGUGAUAGAAUAAACCAGAGUGUUUCAUUUAAUGAAACUUUUAUCUGUUGUAAAAAGACAGACGAAUAAGGACUGGGCAAGACCGGUGCCAGCCGCCGCGGUAAUACCGGCGGUCCAAGUCGUAUCCACAUUUAUUGGGUCUAAAACAUUCGUAGCUUGUUUAAUAAGUUUCUUGUGAAAUCCUAUAUCUCAAAUAUAGGGCGUGCAAGAAAUACUGUUUUACUAGAGACCGGAAGACGCAAAGAGUAUGGUUGAGGUAGCGGUAAAAUGUGUUAAUCUCAAUUAGACUAACAAUGGCGAAGGCACUUUGCGAGUACGGAUCUGACAGUGAGGGAUGAAGGCUAGGGGCGCAAAAGGGAUUAGAUACCCCGGUAGUC
rnacentral:rRNA from 1 species